rnacentral:lncRNA from 1 species
UAGGCCAGGCACUACUCUGUCCCAACAAUAAGCCCUGUACAUUGGGAAAGGUGCCGAAGACAUGAACUUUGGUCUUCUCUGCAAUCCCUCUGGAGCAUUCAGUGACAACGUCGACUUUGAAGUUGCACUGACCUGGCCAGCCCUGCCACUUACCAGGUUGGGCUGUGGCUUGCCUUUUCACUUCUUGUGUCCUGUUUAAGAAAUAUCUGCUAUCCCAAGAUUGAGCCUCGUAUUUCAUAUCUGCCCCUGGCCUAAUGUUUGCUUACAGAAUGAGCUCAAUGAAUAUUGUUAAAUAACACUAACAAAGUUGACCUUAGAAUUGGAGUGCCCGGGUUAGAACCUUGCUGGUACCACCUGCUUACUGCAUGCUUCUGAUGUGAGUUCAGGAGAAGCCACUGGCAAGGACAGCAAAGAACAGGAGAACACUCUAGCUUCCCUGAUAGCAUUCAAGGUGCUGUCCAAAGCUCUUGAGUUUCUGCUUUCAAGUGACCCUCAGAAAUGCCCCCAUUCACUGCAGAGGUUCUGUUUCUCCUUGUUUUGUUCCGACUUUAUGGCAGAACUAGGUUAAUGAGUUAAUUACUAUGAGUUAUCACUUGGAUUUGAAGAACCAUCAUUUCUAGGCUUUGCUGCUCAGAGUGGGUUUGCCCUCAGGGGAAGCUAUCUAACCAGAGCCUAACCCACUAGGGUUUUAUCAGAACCUAACUGGCCUGAGGAAAAGAAAUAUUCAACUCCAGCAAGCUCCAGCCUUCCAAACGGAGGAGGAGAAAACCCAAAUCCAGCCCACUUCAGCUAUCUUGUCCCACAUAAAGGGGGAGUGGAAGAAACGUGAGAAGCAGGCAUGAAGUUCACAGUCCGGAGGUACAGACACAUCAGAGUUCAGUAUCUGAUGAAUUAGAUGCAAAAUCCUCAACAAAGUAUUAGCAAAUUGAAUUCAACAAUGUAUGAAAAUUAUUACAUGCCAUGACUAAUUGGAAUUUAUCUCAGGUAUACAAGCCAUGCUGAACAUCUGAAAAUCAAUUCAUGUGAUCCAUCACAUUAGCAGAUUCAA